rnacentral:misc_RNA from 1 species
UGUGUGUUAUCUAUGUUUUCUGACAGAAAAUCGAUUGUCGCUAGAAAGUAUAAUCACUACCAAAAAUGUUAGAAUUAACUUUAUAUAAAAUGUUAGUGUUUUCUGUUACAUUAGCUAGGAAAAUUUUUAAAUGAAUUGGUGCUAUGAAUUUUAAAUGACUUCUUCCAGUUUCAGACCAUUAGUGCCAGUGGUAUUACAUUCACAAUGACAAAGGACCGGCUUGCUGCCUUGAAAGCGGCUCAAGGGGAUGAUGAUGUGGCUGUUUCUGUGGAAGACAGCACGUGUGAGAAACACAUGGAAGAGUUCUUCCAAGAGGUUGAAGAAAUUAGAGAAAAUAUAGAAAAAAUUCAAACCAAUGUGGAGGAAGUGAAGAAGAAACACAGUGCUAUUCUUUCAGCACCUCAGACAGAAGAAAAGGUGAAGCAGGAGCUGGAAGACCUAAUGGCUGAUAUUAAAAAGUCGGCAAACAAAGUGAGAACCAAGUUAAAAGUUAUGGAGCAGAAUCUAGAACAGUUAGAACAAACCAGGAUGAUGUCAGCUGACUUCCGCAUUAGAAAGACGCAGCAUUCAAUGUUGUCACAGAAAUUUGUAGAAGUGAUGACAGAUUACAACAAAACUCAGACUGACUACAGAGAAAGAUGUAAAGCUCGAAUUCAACGACAGUUAGAGAUCACGGGUAAAGUGACAACAAAUGAUGAGCUGGAAGACAUGUUGGAGAGUGGCAAUCCUGCCAUUUUUACACAAGGGAUUAUCAUGGAAACACAACAAGCCAAACAAACACUGGCAGAUAUUGAGGCUCGUCACAAUGAUAUAAUCAAGUUAGAGAGCAGCAUUCGAGAGCUUCACGAUAUGUUCAUGGACAUGGCGAUGCUGGUUGAGAGCCAGGGAGAAAUGAUUGAUAGAAUUGAAUAUCAAGUGGAACAUGCAAAGGACUACAUAGAAGCUGCUAAACAGGACACAAAGAAGGCACUAGUGUACCAGAGCAAAGCAAGAAGGAAAAAAAUCAUUAUCAUAAUCCUGGUACUAGUGGCGAUUGGAGUUUUAACUUUAAUUAUUCUUGGCUCCAUUGGAGUUAUCUGAUACUAGUUCACGAUGGAUUGGAGGAGACUGCAACUUUAAACGACCUCUGACCAAACAACUACUUUAUUACGUGGGCACAGCUUGUGUCUGGGAUUUUCAGUAUGCCUUCCAUAUAAGAACUUCCAUUCAAAGUGUUUGAUUCAAAGCUAUUAAAAAGGUUUGGUUGAUCCUGAGAGUAAGUGCUAAAUAUAAAGCAAUAGAAUGUAAAAUGCUAA